AAACUGGGAUUAGAUACCCCACUAUGCCCAGCCGUAAACUUUUAUUUACAUCCAAAUCGCCCGGGAACUACGAGCUAAGCUUAAAACCCAAAGGACUUGACGGUACCCCAUAUCCCCCUAGAGGAGCCUGUCCUAUAAUCGAUAAUCCACGUUUAACCUCACCGCUUCUAGUUAAUCAGCCUGUAUACCUCCGUCGUCAGCUUACCACGUGAGCGUAAAUUAGUGAGCCCAAUGUUAUUUCACCAACACGUCAGGUCAAGGUGCAGCAGAUGAAGUGGGAAGAGAUGGGCUACACUUUCUAUUUUAGAAGAAACGAAAAACUACUUAUGAAACCUAGUUAGAAGGCGGAUUUAGCAGUAAAAAGAAAUCAGCAUGUUCAUUUUAACCCGGCACUGGGGUGUGUACACACCGCCCGUCACCCUCUGCAGUCAA
rnacentral:rRNA from 1 species